UGGGGAAUUUUGGACAAUGGGGGAAACCCUGAUCCAGCCAUCCCGCGUGUGCGAUGAAGGCCUUCGGGUUGUAAAGCACUUUUGGCAGGAAAGAAACGUCAUGGGUUAAUACCCCGUGAAACUGACGGUACCUGCAGAAUAAGCACCGGCUAACUACGUGCCAGCAGCCGCGGUAAUACGUAGGGUGCAAGCGUUAAUCGGAAUUACUGGGCGUAAAGCGUGCGCAGGCGGUUCGGAAAGAAAGAUGUGAAAUCCCAGAGCUCAACUUUGGAACUGCAUUUUUAACUACCGGUCUAGAGUGUGGCAGAGGGAGGUGGAAUUCCGCGUGUAGCAGUGAAAUGCGUAGAUAUGCGGAGGAACACCGAUGGCGAAGGCAGCCUCCUGGGAUAACACUGACGCUCAUGCACGAAAGCGUGGGGAGCAAACAGG
rnacentral:rRNA from 1 species